rnacentral:rRNA from 1 species
AUGGCUCAGGACGAACGGCUGGCGGCGCGCCUAACACAUGCAAGUCGAACGGAGGUAUCAGGACGGAAGCUUCGGCAGAAGACCCGAUACUUAGUGGCGAACGGGUGAGUAACACGUGAGGAACCUGCCUUUAAGAGGGGGAUAACACUUAGAAAUAGGUGCUAAUACCGCAUAAGACCACAGAGCGGCAUCGCUCAGGGGUCAAAGGAGAUAUCCGCUUAAAGAUGGCCUCGCGUCCGAUUAGGUAGUAGGCGGGGCAACGGCCCACCUAGCCGACGAUCGGUAGCCGGACUGAGAGGUUGAACGGCCACAUUGGGACUGAGACACGGCCCAGACUCCUACGGGAGGCAGCAGUGGGGAAUAUUGGGCAAUGGGGGGAAAAACCCCUGACCCAGCGACGCCGCGUGAGGGAAGAAGGUUUUCGGAUUGUAAACCUCUGUCUUCGGGGACGAUAGUGACGGUACCCGAGGAGGAAGCCACGGCUAACUACGUGCCAGCAGCAGC